ensembl:piRNA 21ur-2554 ncRNA
UCCGUCACCAUCAUUAAUCAU